rnacentral:rRNA from 1 species
UAUUUAUUAGAUAAAAAACCAAUGCCCUUCGGGGCUCCUUGGUGAAUCAUAAUAACUUAACGAAUCGCAUGGCCUUGCGCCGGCGGUGGUUCAUUCAAAUUUCUGCCCUAUCAACUUUCGAUGGUAGGAUAGUGGCCUACCAUGGUAUCAACGGGUAACGGGGAAUUAGGGUUCGACUCCGGAGAGGGAGCCUGAGAAACGGCUACCACAUCCAAGGAAGGCAGCAGGCGCGCAAAUUACCCAAUCCCGACACGGGGAGGUAGUGACAAUAAAUACUGAUACAGGGCUCUUUUGGGUCUUGUAAUUGGAAUGAGUACAAUUUAAAUCCCUUAACGAGGAACAAUUGGAGGGCAAGUCUGGUGCCAGCAGCCGCGGUAAUUCCAGCUCCAAUAGCGUAUAUUAAAGUUGUUGCAGUUAAAAAGCUCGUAGUUGAACCUUGGGCCUGGCUGGCCGGUCCGCCUCACCGCGUGUACUGGUCCGGCCGGGCCUUUCCUUCUGGGGAACCUCAUGCCCUUCACUGGGCGUGUUGGGGAACCAGGACUUUUACUUUGAAAAAAUUAGAGUGUUCAAAGCAGG